rnacentral:rRNA from 1 species
AGGUAACACUGAAUGGAGGACCGAACCGACUUACGUUGAAAAGUGAGCGGAUGAACUGAGGGUAGCGGAGAAAUUCCAAUCGAACCUGGAGAUAGCUGGUUCUCUCCGAAAUAGCUUUAGGGCUAGCCUCAAGUGAUGAUUAUUGGAGGUAGAGCACUGUUUGGACGAGGGGCCCCUCUCGGGUUACCGAAUUCAGACAAACUCCGAAUGCCAAUUAAUUUAACUUGGGAGUCAGAACAUGGGUGAUAAGGUCCGUGUUCGAAAGGGAAACAGCCCAGACCACCAGCUAAGGUCCCAAAAUAUAUGUUAAGUGGAAAAGGAUGUGGCGUUGCCCAGACAACUAGGAUGUUGGCUUAGAAGCAGCCAUCAUUUAAAGAGUGCGUAAUAGCUCACUAGUCGAGUGACACUGCGCCGAAAAUGUACCGGGGCUAAACAUAUUACCGAAGCUGUGGAUUGUCCUUUGGACAAUGGUAGGAGAGCUUUCUAAGGGCGUUGAAGCAUGAUCGUAAGGACAUGUGGAGCGCUUAGAAGUGAGAAUGCCGG